rnacentral:rRNA from 1 species
AACAGGAUUAGAUACCCUGGUAGUCCACGCCGUAAACGAUGUCUACUUGGAGGCUGUGGUCUUGAACCGUGGCUUCCGGAGCUAACGCGUUAAGUAGACCGCCUGGGGAGUACGGCCGCAAGGUUAAAACUCAAAUGAAUUGACGGGGGCCCGCACAAACGGUGGAGCAUGUGGUUUAAUUCGAUGCAACGCGAAGAACCUUACCUACUCUUGACAUCCAGAGAACUUAGCAGAGAUGCUUUGGUGCCUUCGGGAACUCUGAGACAGGUGCUGCAUGGCUGCCGUCAGCUCGUGUUGUGAAAUGUUGGGUUAAGUCCCGCAACGAGCGCAACCCUUAUCCUUUGUUGCCAGCGAUUCGGUCGGGAACUCAAAGGAGACUGCCAGUGAUAAACUGGAGGAAGGUGGGGAUGACGUCAAGUCAUCAUGGCCCUUACGAGUAGGGCUACACACGUGCUACAAUGGCGCAUACAAAGAGAAGCGACCUCGCGAGAGCAAGCGGACCUCAUAAAGUGCGUCGUAGUCCGGAUUGGAGUCUGCAACUCGACUCCAUGAAGUCGGAAUCGCUAGUAAUCGUGGAUCAGAAUGCCACGGUGAAUACGUUCCCGGGCCUUGUACACACCGCCCGUCACACCAUGGGAGUGGGUUGCAAAAGAAGUAGGUAGCUUAACCUUCGGGAGGGCGCUUACCACUUUGUGAUUCAUGACUGGGGUGAAGUCGUAACAAGGUAACC